rfam:Deltaproteobacteria bacterium RIFOXYA2_FTLL_55_11 rifoxya2_full_scaffold_1165, whole genome shotgun sequence.
GGGCGGUUAGCUCAGCGGGAGAGCAUCGGCCUUACAAGCCGGGGGCCACAGGUUCAAAUCCUGUACCGCCCA